CCUCAGGUGGGCAGCAUCAGCAUGUGGUCACAGAGGCCAUCUCCUUAAAUAAGGAGGAUAAGCGUUCCAGUGGUCUGUGAUCCAAGUGAGAGAUACCUUGUCCUACAGGGGCAAGAGGUGGUGUCCUUCUGUUCAGACCAUGAACUGCUGGAAGGCAACAACAGCACAGGGUCAUAAUGAUGAGUCCCAGUUCUUCAAGGAAGCAGCAUAAGCAUGAGAUCAGGAAGACAUCUCUCUCCCUUAGACAGGUGGCAUGAGCGCAAGAAAAUGAAACAAGAUGUCUCCUCCUUGGACGGACAAGAGAAAAGUGUGAGAGGGAAGGAAGUGACAUCAGCAGCCCUAAGAAUAGUAACGUAGGCUAAAGAAUCAUCAGAGCAUGCAAAGGACAAUCUAGGAAGAUCAGGUUCUUAUCUUUCUCUCUACUCCUUCCCAUGCAAAGAGAUA